AUUGAACGCUGGCGGCAUGCCUUACACAUGCAAGUCGAACGGCAGCACGGGUGCUUGCACCUGGUGGCGAGUGGCGAACGGGUGAGUAAUACAUCGGAACAUGUCCUGUAGUGGGGGAUAGCCCGGCGAAAGCCGGAUUAAUACCGCAUACGAUCCACGGAUGAAAGCGGGGGACCUUCGGGCCUCGCGCUAUAGGGUUGGCCGAUGGCGGAUUAGCUAGUUGGUGGGGUAAAGGCCUACCAAGGCGACGAUCAGUAGCUGGUCUGAGAGGACGACCAGCCACCCUGGGACUUAGACACGGCCCAGACUCCUACGGGAGGCAGCAGUGGGGAAUGUUGGACAAUGGGCGAAAGCCUGAUCCAGCAAUGCCGCGUGUGUGAAGAAGGCCUUCGGGUUGUAAAGCCCUUUUGUCCGGAAAGAAAUCCUUGACUCUAAUACAGUCGGGGGAUGACGGUACCGGAGGAAUAAGCACCGGCUAACUACGUG
rnacentral:rRNA from 1 species